rnacentral:rRNA from 1 species
UGGAAAGGCGUGCGAUACAGGGUGACAGCCCCGUACACAAAAAUGCACAUAUUGUGAGCUCGAUGAGUAGGGCGGGACACGUGGUAUCCUGUCUGAAUAUGGGGGGACCAUCCUCCAAGGCUAAAUACUCCUGACUGACCGAUAGUGAACCAGUACCGUGAGGGAAAGGCGAAAAGAACCCCGGCGAGGGGAGUGAAAAAGAACCUGAAACCGUGUACGUACAAGCAGUGGGAGCACGCUUAGGCGUGUGACUGCGUACCUUUUGUAUAAUGGGUCAGCGACUUAUAUUCUGUAGCAAGGUUAACCGAAUAGGGGAGCCGAAGGGAAACCGAGUCUUAACUGGGCGUUAAGUUGCAGGGUAUAGACCCGAAACCCGGUGAUCUAGCCAUGGGCAGGUUGAAGGUUGGGUAACACUAACUGGAGGACCGAACCGACUAAUGUUGAAAAAUUAGCGGAUGACUUGUGGCUGGGGGUGAAAGGCCAAUCAAACCGGGAGAUAGCUGGUUCUCCCCGAAAGCUAUUUAGGUAGCGCCUCGUGAAUUCAUCUCCGGGGGUAGAGCACUGUUUCGGCAAGGGGGUCAUCCCGACUUACCAACCCGAUGCAAACUGCGAAUACCGGAGAAUGUUAUCACGGGAG